rnacentral:rRNA from 1 species
GUUCCUUGGAAAAGGACAGCUGAGAGGGUGAAACUCCCGUCCGCCUGGUAGAAUGAGUCUUUGUCAACGAGUCGAGUUGUUUGGGAUUGCAGCUCUAAUUUGGUGGUAAAUUCCAUCUAAAGCUAAAUAUUGGUGGGAGACCGAUAGCGUACAAGUACCGUGAGGGAAAGAUGCAAAGAACUUUGAAAAGAGAGUUAAAGAGUACCUGAAAUUGCUGAAACGGAAGCGAAGGAAACCAGUGUUUGUUGGUUCAUAUUUCCCUUGUCACUUGUGAUGUGGGCGCUGUGAGCUUGCGUGGGUUUGCUUUGGUUGAUUCCUUUGGAAGAGCGCAGUCAGAGUUGAUGUCU